UAGGGAAUCUUCCACAAUGGGUGCAAACCUGAUGGAGCAACGCCGCGUGAGUGAAGAAGGUCUUCGGAUCGUAAAGCUCUGUUGUUAGAGAAGAACACGUGCUAAGUAACUACUAGCGCCUUGACGGUAUCUAACCAGAAAGUCACGGCUAACUACGUGCCAGCAGCCGCGGUAAUACGUAGGUGACAAGCGUUGUCCGGAUUUAUUGGGCGUAAAGGGAGCGCAGGCGGUCUGUUUAGUCUAAUGUGAAAGCCCACGGCUUAACCGUGGAACGGCAUUGGAAACUGACAGACUUGAAUGUAGAAGAGGAAAAUGGAAUUCCAAGUGUAGCGGUGGAAUGCGUAGAUAUUUGGAGGAACACCAGUGGCGAAGGCGAUUUUCUGGUCUAACAUUGACGCUGAGGCUCGAAAGCGUGGGGAGCGAACAGGAUUAGAUACCCUGGUAGUCCACGCCGUAAACGAUGAGUGCUAAGUGUUGGGGGCUUUCCGGCCCUCGGUGCUGGAGCUAACGUAUUAAGCACUCCGCCUGGGGAUUACGACCGCAAGGUUG
rnacentral:rRNA from 1 species